GCCCAGGUAGCUCAGUCAGUAGAGCAUGAGGGUCUUAUUUUCCGGGUCGUGCGUUUGAGCCCCACGGUGGGCA